rnacentral:snoRNA from 1 species
AAUCCUGAUGAUGAUAAUAAGACAUUGUUAACCUGAUCCCCACGUGGGGGUUGAGGACAAGUCCUGCAAUUCUGAAAGGGUU